CAUUUCCUGUCUUAGCCGGAGGAUUCUGUACCACUGUGCCACCUGGGAAGCCCAUGGAAGACCCGGUGCAGCAAAAAAAAAAAAAAAAAAAAAAAAAAAACCACCCAAUUUAUAAUACUUAAAAAAAAAAUCUGAUGAACAUGGUUUUUGCUUUCAGCAAAACUGCAUACUUACAGGUAUUUAGAACUGAAUUAUAAUUACAGUAAUUGCCCUGGAGUCUUCUCCAGCUUGGAAAAGCCUGCACUGCUGCAGGGGUACAGGGUUAUUAACAACUGUGCCCUGCUUUCCUGCAGCUCACUGUAGGCUUCCCAGAGAACCCACAUAUGGGUCACUUCCUUCACUCUCAGGCAGGUGUUGGCUUGCAAACUGACCCUGUACACGGGGGACAAGAUGAGACCCAAGAAAGAGGCAGCCACUCCAGACUCAUAGGUGGCAGGUUUAAUAAGCAAGGGAAUUUACAAGGCUUAUCUCUUUCUCUUUUUUAAAAGUCUUAGCAUCUUUUACUCAUUAAAAAAAAAAAAAAAAAGAACUUACCUACAAAUUUGUCUUGGGCAGCUCUAAGAUGAAUAGAUCUAGGCAUCUGUCUGCCAGAAUCUUACUUUUAACAGAUACCCUGUCCAGACAGGCUCAACUCUUCACUCUCUCAAAGAUAUAUCAGGGCAAAGCUUCCAAUAUGAAAACAGUGGGUGGAAUGUACAUUUCAAGGACAGAGGAGCUUCAAAUUGCCUGGGGCCUGCCGCGGUUCAGCUCGGGGGUCAGACUGAGAUCUCAUCCUCUCCAAGACCUCCUCAACACUUUACUAGCGAUCCCACCCCUUAGCAUCUUAAUCAGGCUUCCUCACCAGCUCUGGGACCCUAAUCUUGGGCAACGGGAACCCCCCUUGCUUUGCAAAAGAGCUCUCCGAGGUCUCCAGUUGACCUUCCAGUUCCCCCAGAUUGUCUGCCGGCCCCGGGGUGAACAGAACAGGGGACUCUGCAGUCUUUCUCUGACCCCAGUUCUUCACACUUUUCUAACUUAAACUUCAGCCAUCAGCCUCUUCCGCCCCAAGAGGAAGUCAGCUGGCUGUGCGUCCAGAAUUUGCUUCUCCGCCUGCAGCGCCCUCUGGGCGGCUAAGCAGACACACACAUCGGACCAGCCAGCAUGUUGGGGGCGUCCUGUACUCCAGCAGCCGUCUGCACGCAUCUGACAUUCAGGACACCCCUCCCCACGCAGGGGUCGAUGGCCAGCCUGGGAUUUCCCUUCUGCGAAUGCCUCUUUCCCGAGAGCUAUUACUUCGGUCUCCAGAAUGGCUUGCCAUACUGUGCUUUGUAAACCGCGAGGAACACAGAGCAGAAGGAGAGACCCCAGAGCGAGGUAAACCCCUCCGGACCGGCAGGUGGCGGUUUUAGUAAGUGAAGCGACUUAAUUAUGAGGCUGGUCAAGACAGAGAGAUCUCGGCACCUGCCCGCUGGAAUCUUAGUUUAUACGGACACCAUCACUUGGUUUAGGCUCAUAUCCCGUCCAGGUGAUCUGAACACCUCGCUUUCUCAAGGCUACAUCCUUGGAGCAGCUCCUGCUGCAGGAACUGUGGACAGGAAGUAUCCUCCAAGGACAGAGGAAGGGGUGGGGACCCUCCGAUUGCUGAUUGCCGGGAUCCACUUCGUGGGCCAGUCAGCAGUCUCCUCCUGUUGAUGACCUGUUUCAUCAGCAAGUAACACAUUUGCUCCGUUUAAUGAGGACACUCAGACCUUGGACCUUUACCAGCUUGUCCAUUUUGCCCAGAAAACGAGACGGAGCUGAGAUGAGUCGACUGAAAUUUCUAAAUGACGUACAAAACAACGUGGAUUUCUUGAGGCCGAACCCAGUGUGAAUUUCUGGAAGUAAAGAUGCAGUGAAGGGUGCACGAAGCGUGGGAGCUUGCAGCGUGUUUUCUUGCAACGUGCGGUUUUAGACAAUGGGUGAUUCUGAGCUUGGCUAGAAUCAUGAAUUCCGGGGUCCUGGGAGGGAAAACCUUUAUCUGGUAGUAAAUAUCAUGUUGUUUCAGUGCUGUUUGGGUACCACUCACAUAAAGGGUCUAAGAGUGAA